AAUAGAUAUGCAAAGUUAAAUAGAGGUAGAUAAAGAAGAUUUAUACAUAGUAAAUAUUAACUGCAAGGGGGAAAGAACAGUAAGAAAAGCAAACGAGAAAUUUCAUGUCUUAUUUCAGGUAGUUCCUAAAGUUUCUCCUCAUUUCUUUACGGUUAGUUCAAAGAAUUAAGUAACCGUGGGAGUUAUGAACUAGUGUUUUGUGUCAUACUAUGAAUAUGUAGCUCAGCAGUUAUUUGUGUGACAGAAAAGGAUUUUUUUCUUUUUUGCAUUCAAAAAUGAACAUUGACACUUAAUAUCAUUUACUUAGAGUGAGGCGUUCUAAUGAUGACAGUAUAAGUACAUCAGAGUUUUUGCAUCUCUCAAUGUGGCAUGGAUUUUCCUUUCUACAAAAAUAAUAGUAGGUUUAAAAAUUAAAAAUUAAAAUUAAAAAAAGAAGGUGGUGCAGCUGUUUCGCUUGCGGGGACUCUGGCGGCACCAAGUAUUAGGGACACAGACUGGCUCUGCCGCAGGAGUUAUGGCCCUCUUAGAGUCUUUCUUUGAACCUCUUGUAGCUGGUGAUCAGAAGGCUUCUUUGCCCAGUCUUUCUUCGUAGCUCCACCUGUUCAGGAACAUAGAAGGGCUGGGGUCCUACUCUGUAAAUCAGCACAUCAGUCACUUAAAGGAGCACCCUGGGUGGGGUUCUGCUCUGUAGUUCAGUAUAUCAGGCUUUGAUGGGCCAGCUUAUCUAUUGUUCAGCUGCCAAUGCUGGUGUGUGGGGAGAGAGAGGCUAUGUUGAUGGCUUCACCCCCUACGCAUGACUCAGCAGUAUCGCCUUUCUUCCAUGGCUGCCUGGCUUUCCUCCACAGGCGUUUCCCACCACAAUCUCCCCUCUCACCUCCUCUCGAUCCAUCUCUCCACAGUCAACAGCAGCCCUUGACCUGGGUUCGGUCCACAAUCCCCAAACUCCAGUUCCCAGCUGCUGCGCCUUCCACGGGACCUGCAUCCCUGUUUGGGGAGAAGAAAGAUUCUACGAAGUGAUGCAUUCUCAGACUUCAUGACUGGUGCAGGAAAACACUGAGAUGGGCUUGGUCUGUUUCUUUUACUGGACAGGAGACAUUUGAGUCCAGAUGCUGGCUUCAUUUAACUCUGGGUCCUUGUUUUAACCUAGAGUUUGGCUCACUGUAACGGUUUGAUAUGUACCUAAUU